rnacentral:rRNA from 1 species
UACGUAGGGGGCGAGCGUUGUCCGGAGUUACUGGGCGUAAAGCGCUUGUAGGCGGUCCACCAAGUUUGGGGUGACAGUUGCCGACUUAAUCGGCAAAAUGCCUCAAAGACUGGCGGACUUGAGGGCCACAGAGGGACAUGGAACUCCAGGUGUAGUGGUGAAAUGCGUAGAUAUCUGGAAGAACACCAAAGGCGAAGGCAGUGUCCUGGGUGGUCGCUGACGCUGAGAGGCGAAAGCCAGGGGAGCGAACGGG